UCAUGAUCGAAGCGAGAGGCAUGUUUGUGAUAGAAGUGGGGCAGACUAACAUAGGAAAGGAAGGAAACUAGAGGAAAGGUGGCAAAUGAUCGAUUAGGAUGAUGUCUGGAGUCCUGAUGAACCAGACAGACCCUGCAGUGGCUUAUACAGGUCUGUUCUAUUGUCCCGUCCCCACCUGCAUCCCCCACUGCGUCCACUUCAAAUGUCUUUAUAUACAGUAUGUCUGGUAUAUGUACUCUUUACUCCACCCCUUACUACACUGGACCCAGAAAAGACAAUGACUAUGAUCAAAGCCCAAAUGAUUCAGGAUGCUUGG